AAUUUACGCCCUCCUGCGGAUUUCUGGACUUGAAAAAGGCCACGCGUUGCGCGUGGCCUUUUCUUUUUGGGCGG
rnacentral:misc_RNA from 1 species